rnacentral:rRNA from 1 species
UACGGGGGGGGCAAGCGUUGUUCGGAAUUACUGGGCGUAAAGGGCGCGUAGGCGGUUUGUUAAGUUGGUUGUGAAAACUCUGGGCUUAACCCAGAGCCUGCAUCCAAAACUAGCAAGCUAGAGUUCUGGAGGGGAUAGCGGAAUUCCUGGUGUAGCGGUGAAAUGCGUAGAUAUCGGAAGGAACACCGGUGGCGAAAGCGGCGCGCUGGACCUCUUCUGACGCUGAGGCGCGAAAGCCAGGGGAGCAAACGGG